GAUGAAGAACGCAGCGAAAUGCGAUACGUAAUGUGAAUUGCAGAAUUCAGUGAAUCAUCGAAUCUUUGAACGCACAUUGCGCCUGCUAGUAUUCUGGCGGGCAUGCCUGUCCGAGCGUCAUUUCAACCCAUCAAGCUUAGCGCUUGUGUUGGAGCCCUGCGGCCGCCGCAGCCUCCUAAAAUCAGUGGCGGGCUCGCUAUCACGCUGAGUGCAGUAGUAUUCUUCUCACUCCUGUGGUGUAGCGGGUAACCAGCCGUAAACCCCCCCAUCUAUAAAGGUUGACCUCGGAUCAGGUAGGAAUACCCGCUGAACUUAAGCAUAUCAAUAAGCGGAGGA
rnacentral:misc_RNA from 1 species